GACGAACGCUGGCGGCGUGCUUAACACAUGCAAGUCGAGCGGUAAGGCCCUUUCGGGGGUACACGAGCGGCGAACGGGUGAGUAACACGUGGGUGACCUGCCUUCAGCUCUGGGAUAAGCCUGGGAAACUGGGUCUAAUACCGGAUAUGACUCCAUGAUGCAUGUUGUGGGGUGGAAAGCUUUUGCGGCUGGAGAUGGGCCCGCGGCCUAUCAGCUUGUUGGUGUGGUAACGGCUCACCAAGGCUG
rnacentral:rRNA from 1 species